rnacentral:tRNA from 1 species
GUGCCUGUGGCUCAAAGGUGUAGGGCGCCGGCCUCAUACGCCGGAGAUGGAGAGUUCAAACCCAGCCCCA